AGGCCCUUCGGGGUACUCGAGCGGCGAACGGGUGAGUAACACGUGAGCAACCUGCCCUAGGCUUUGGGAUAACCCUCGGAAACGGGGGCUAAUACCGAAUAGGACCUCUGACCGCAUGGUUGGUGGUGGAAAGUUUUUCGGCCUGGGAUGGGCUCGCGGCCUAUCAGCUUGUUGGUGGGGUGAUGGCCUACCAAGGCGACGACGGGUAGCCGGCCUGAGAGGGCGACCGGCCACACUGGGACUGAGACACGGCCCAGACUCCUACGGGAGGCAGCAGUGGGGAAUAUUGCACAAUGGGCGGAAGCCUGAUGCAGCGACGCCGCGUGAGGGAUGACGGCCUUCGGGUUGUAAACCUCUUUCAGCAGGGACGAAGCGUAAGUGACGGUACCUGCAGAAGAAGCGCCGGCCAACUACGUGCCAGCAGCCGCGGUAAGACGUAGGGCGCGAGCGUUGUCCGGAUUUAUUGGGCGUAAAGAGCUCGUAGGCGGCUUGUCGCGUCGACUGUGAAAACCCGCAGCUCAACUGCGGGCCUGCAGUCGAUACGGGCAGGCUAGAGUUCGGUAGGGGAGACUGGAAUUCCUGGUGUAGCGGUGAAAUGCGCAGAUAUCAGGAGGAACACCGGUGGCGAAGGCGGGUCUCUGGGCCGAUACUGACGCUGAG
rnacentral:rRNA from 1 species